rnacentral:tRNA from 1 species
AUAGGCCCCUAACGGAAGGGAAAGUUAGCCGAUAACUAACUUUUAACUAGUUCAAAUCUAGUCCUAUUUU